UGGACCUUGGAAUCAUGGAUGUUGCCC
rnacentral:piRNA from 1 species